rnacentral:rRNA from 1 species
GCAAGGAAAGUUGAGGCAAUAACAGGUCUGUGAUGCCCUUAGAUGUUCUGGGCUGCACGCGCGCUACACUGAUGCAUCCAACGAGUUUACAACCUUGGCCGACAGGUCUAGGUAAUCUUUUGAGUAUGCAUCGUGAUGGGGAUAGAUUAUUGCAAUUAUUAAUCUUCAACGAGGAAUGCCUAGUAGGCGCAAGUCAGCAGCUUGCGCCGAUUACGUCCCUGCCCUUUGUACACACCGCCCGUCGCUCCUACCGAUUGAGUGUUCCGGUGAAUUAUUCGGACCGUUCCGUGUCGCGUUUCGUGUCCGGAAUGGGAAGUUUUGUGAACCUUAA